rnacentral:rRNA from 1 species
CCUACGGGAGGCAGCAGUGGGGGAUUUUGGACAAUGGGGGCAACCCUGAUCCAGCCAUGCCGCGUGCGGGAAGAAGGCCUUCGGGUUGUAAACCGCUUUUGUCGGGGAAGAAACGGUCUGCGCUAAUACCGCGGGCUAAUGACGGUACCCGAAGAAUAAGCACCGGCUAACUACGUGCCAGCAGCCGCGGUAAU